rnacentral:rRNA from 1 species
GGAAUAUUGGACAAUGGGUGAGAGCCUGAUCCAGCCAUCCCGCGUGAAGGAUGACGGUCCUAUGGAUUGUAAACUUCUUUUGUAUAGGAAUAAACCUUUCUACGUGUAGAAAGCUGAAGGUACUAUACGAAUAAGCACCGGCUAACUCCGUGCCAGCAGCCGCGGUAAUACGGAGGGUGCAAGCGUUAUCCGGAUUUAUUGGGUUUAAAGGGUCCGUAGGCGGACCGAUAAGUCAGUGGUGAAAUCUCAUAGCUUAACUAUGAAACUGCCAUUGAUACUGUCGGUCUUGAGUAAAUUAGAGGUAGCUGGAAUAAGUAGUGUAGCGGUGAAAUGCAUAGAUAUUACUUAGAACACCAAUUGCGAAGGCAGGUUACCAUGAUUUAACUGACGCUGAGGGACGAAAGCGUGGGUAGCGAACAGGAUUAGAUACCCGUG